rnacentral:rRNA from 1 species
GACGAACGCUGGCGGCGUGCUUAACACAUGCAAGUCGAACGGAAAGGCCCUGCUUUUGUGGGGUGCUCGAGUGGCGAACGGGUGCGUAACACGUGAGUAACCUGCCCUUGACUUUGGGAUAACUUCAGGAAACUGGGGCUAAUACCGGAUAGGAGCUCCUGCUGCAUGGUGGGGGUUGGAAAGUUUCGGCGGUUGGGGAUGGACUCGCGGCUUAUCAGCUUGUUGGUGGGGUAGUGGCUUACCAAGGCUUUGACGGGUAGCCGGCCUGAGAGGGUGACCGGCCACAUUGGGACUGAGAUACGGACCAGAGUGCUACGGGAGGCAGCGGUGGGGAAUAUGGCACAAUGGGCGGAAGCCUGAUGCAGCAACGCCGCGGGCGGGAUGACGGCCUUUGGGUUGUAAACCGCUUUCGCCUGUGACGAAGCGUGAGUGACGGUAAUGGGUAAAGAAGCACCGGCUAACUACGUG